rnacentral:rRNA from 1 species
GAUGAACGCUGGCGGCGUGCCUAAUACAUGCAAGUCGAGCGAACAGACGAGGAGCUUGCUCCUCUGACGUUAGCGGCGGACGGGUGAGUAACACGUGGAUAACCUACCUAUAAGACUGGGAUAACUUCGGGAAACCGGAGCUAAUACCGGAUAACAUGUUGAACCGCAUGGUUCAACAGUGAAAGACGGUUUUGCUGUCACUUAUAGAUGGAUCCGCGUCGCAUUAGCUAGUUGGUAAGGUAACGGCUUACCAAGGCAACGAUGCGUAGCCGACCUGAGAGGGUGAUCGGCCACACUGGAACUGAGACACGGUCCAGACUCCUACGGGAGGCAGCAGUAGGGAAUCUUCCGCAAUGGGCGAAAGCCUGACGGAGCAACGCCGCGUGAGUGAAGAAGGUCUUCGGAUCGUAAAACUCUGUUAUUAGGGAAGAACAAAUGUGUAAGUAACUAUGCACGUCUUGACGGUACCUAAUCAGAAAACCACGGCUAACUACGU